CCUGGAGGCGCUCCACAAUACCGGCAGACAAGGAGAACUCCCAGUUGGUAUACCCUCAUUAUCAAGGAUGGGGAUUCCAUGAGGGCAGAGAUCUUCAUUAAUUGGGAUAAACCCUUUUCAUCAAAAGACUAGGCAAUGACCUUCUGGACUUCAGCUUUUUCCACCCAGAACUUCUAGGCUGGGACACCUUCUCAGAGAGCCAGUGUAUUAAACCCUGACUAUGUAAUCAUAACAGACCCAUGACUGACUGCUUCCAGAACAU